UGUGUGUGUGUGUGUGUGAUGUGUUGUGUGUGUGAUGUUAAUCAUUUGAAAGUUCACUCUUGUGCUUCCCACUGACUCCAAUUACACCAGAUUUUACAGAACAGAAGGUGAGUGAGCCUUUAGAUAACCAACUAAUUUACUGUUAA